rnacentral:rRNA from 1 species
GAUGAACGCUGGCGGCGUGCCUAAUACAUGCAAGUCGAGCGAACAGACGAGGAGCUUGCUCCUCUGACGUUAGCGGCGGACGGGUGAGUAACACGUGGAGAACCUACCUAUAAGACUGGGAUAACUUUGGGAAACCGGAGCUAAUACCGGAUAAUAUCUUUAACCGCAUGGUUCAAUAGUGAAAGACGGUUUUGCUGUCACUUAUAGAUGGAUCCGCGCCGCUUUGGCUAGUUGGUAAGGUAACGGCUUCCCAAGGCGACGAUGCGUAGCCGACCUGAGAGGGUGAUCGGCCACACUGGAACUGAGACACGGUCCAGACUCCUACGGGAGGCAGCAGUAGGGAAUCUUCCGCAAUGGGCGAAAGCCUGACGGAGCAACGCCGCGUGAGUGAUGAAGGUCUUCGGAUCGUAAAACUCUGUUAUUAGGGAAGAACAAAUGUGUAAGUAACUAUGCACGUCUUGACGGUACCUAAUCAGAAAGCCACGGCUAACUACGUG